AGAGAGAGAGAGAGAGAGAGAGAAGUUCGGUACUAGGGUGUCGAAUAUUCUUAUGAAGCAGAUAGUCAAUGAAAAAACUCAUGAUCUACUGUGACAAAAGGUUUCUGAAAGCAGAGAAGUUAUGGCAAUAUUCAGGCAUUUCAGCUCUGGAAACAGCAGCAAGCUGGUCGACUGCCCAAGAAUCCAACACAACCACCUCCCUUGUAUCCUUUCGCGACGCAAGACUUAUAGCAGUUUGGGAACUUUGGACAUGGACCUAGGCAGGGUACUACUGCUCCUCGUGCUGAUACUUGCUCUGUCACUGAACCAUUAAAUCUUGAUUAUUAGGCUCAAGAUGAAAGGAAGAAAAAACGAUCCUAUUUAUAUGUGUGUGAAUAACCUAUUUAAGAUCUUAUAAUUGAUAAAAAAAAAAAAUUAGUUUAAAGAUAUUCUUACUAUCAAAAAAAGUGAAAGGGAAAAAAUUGUUUUGAGAUGGAAAAUGAAUUUGAGAGAAUCUUACAUGAUGUCAGUAGCAAAACAACGAAUAAAAUCCCCAUGGAGUUUUGAAUAAAAGGGGAAGCUUUGUCAGUAGACA